rnacentral:rRNA from 1 species
ACAAGCGGUGGAGCAUGUGGUUUAAUUCGAUGCAACGCGAAGAACCUUACCUACUCUUGACAUCCAGAGAAUUCGCUAGAGAUAGCUUAGUGCCUUCGGGAACUCUGAGACAGGUGCUGCAUGGCUGUCGUCAGCUCGUGUUGUGAAAUGUUGGGUUAAGUCCCGCAACGAGCGCAACCCUUAUCCUUGUUUGCCAGCACGUAAUGGUGGGAACUCCAGGGAGACUGCCGGUGAUAAACCGGAGGAAGGUGGGGACGACGUCAAGUCAUCAUGGCCCUUACGAGUAGGGCUACACACGUGCUACAAUGGCGUAUACAGAGGGCUGCAAACUAGCGAUAGUAAGCGAAUCCCACAAAGUACGUCGUAGUCCGGAUUGGAGUCUGCAACUCGACUCCAUGAAGUCGGAAUCGCUAGUAAUCGUGAAUCAGAAUGUCACGGUGAAUACGUUCCCGGGCCUUGUACACACCGCCCGUCACACCAUGGGAGUGGGCUGCACCAGAAGUAGAUAGCUUAACCUUCGGGAGGGCGUUUACCACGGUGUGGUUCAUGACUGGGGUGAAGUCGUAACAAGGUAGCCCUAGGGGAACCUGGGGCUGGAUCACCUCCUUAC